rnacentral:rRNA from 1 species
CCUGCGCCCACUCCACCUCGUUCUCCUCCCCGCUCGCUCCAUCCUUUCCCAUGUCGCCGCCCCUCUUCUCCUGUCUUGCGUCGGCCGCCUCCUCUUCUCCCGUCUCGCGUCGGACGCCUCCUCUUCUCCCUGCGUUGUCGGCCCCCUCCCUCCUCCUCCCUCCUUCGUCCUCACAGCCGACCAUCUCCGUCGCUUGGGCCCCAUGGCAGCGGCCGGAUCUUCCAGCCGGGAAAUCGAGCGUCUCGAUGGUGCUAUGACUGAUGCACGGCGACGGCUAGCGUCUGUGAGUGCCACACGCGGUGCAGCAGGCUCAGAGGGCAGCGGGCACGGCAGGCUCGGCAGGCAGCGGGUGCGGUGGUCAAAGCUAGGGGCGCGGAUUGGGGAGAUGCGCACACGAGGAGCGACGGCGACCGCGUCUGCCGCCAACACCGAGGCCAUACUGCCAGUACAGUCCAAGUGGAAUGGAGUACUCAGUUUUGCCACCGAGCGGAGACCAGCUCGCCGCGCAGCUGGAGCAGCGGGUUGAUGUGCCGCAACUAACACUUCGCCAUUGCCCCGACUCCUCCCCGCGGACCAUGGACCCACCGUGUAUGGAGAGCGCCAACGGGGUGAAGAUUUGCCAGACCAGCCGACUUGUGUGAUGUUGCCGCCGCCACAGACCCAUAGUCCUUCUCUUUGUUGGAGUCUUCCUUCUCUGUCUUCUUUUUCGGCAGGAGACAAAACAGUUUGGUGUCUUUGACAUGCUUGGGAUCGACACAUCGUUCAUGCCAUGGUUGGAUUUGAAUGGGGGCAGCCGUUUGCAAUCAAAUUCAGAAGAUACACAACCUAAGAUCGAAAUAUUCCUACCUGAACCAAAGGGUUCUACUGUUUGUGACGUGCUUCUUGUUGAUCAUCUGCUGCUUUGGCACGUCAAGGGCCAAUGCUGGUGUCAGGACCACUGCGAUCACAACCAAAGCCAAGUAGAUGCUGCUCCGCUCUCUACUGAAGAAGCAUUUAUAGGUUAUUCUAUGCAUAAGAUUGCGCUUUUAUGUGUCGUUUCCUUCAAGCUGUCAUUGCAACAGAAGAUGAAGUGUAUCUGUGUGAUGCCGCAUGUCGUAGUUCUAUCACUACGCGGACAUGUGCAAGAAAUGCAAGGAAGAUAGACCCAUAAAUGGCCGUGCAGUACCGGAGCCAGGAGCACCAGGGCGGCACCACCCGAGGUCAGUGCUUCCAUAGCUCUUUGUUUUUUUUAUUUCGUUACUCAUCUAUAUUCAAAGUGAAUGAAAUGUAUGCCUUGGUCUGCACUGUUCAGUUCCACAUGCAAUUUCUUUCCAUUAGCACCAUUAUGACCAUUAUUUCCUAUGCAAGCACACAAUUGAAAAGUUUGUUUGGAUGGUUAAUUUAGUUCUUUGUGUUGGAUCCACAUCUUCUCACGUCUGACAUCAUGAGGAACGGACCCCCUCGACACCAUCCUCUGCAGCGCUACUCUGCUGCCUCCGUUUGUCACAGUUUGUGAUCUCUUCUGCAUUCCGCUUUCCAGGAGUUCUUGCCUUCAACACUGAGGUGGAAUGGCUCUGCCCAUAGUUGUCUCGUGAAGGUGGGGCUCGAAGAAGUAUGGCCCUGAUGCGCUAGGUUUGUCAUUUUUGUCAGCAUCCGCUUCCUUUGUUGGUUGUCGCUUGUUUGUACAUAGUUGUAGUUCAGAGAUGCCACCCAAUUUGCUAAUAUAAUUGUUCAUUGCUCUCUCACGGCAAUUCUUACAAAAUUAUCAUGCAUACAGUUCCCUGUUUAAGUAGAAUAUAACCACUGGGUUAUUCAAAUGCAGAUUCUUUUGUAACUCAAGAGGUUAUAUUUUAAUUGCAUGCACUUACUUUAGCUUAGGGGUUCAUCUGUACGGGAGCACAUCAUUGGAGAGAAAGAUCAUGAUCAAAGGAAAUAGGUUUCAGGCUCAUGCGCCUGUUUUCCUUUUUCCUUUUGAUGGGGCCGUUCAGGUGAGGUGAAGCAAGCAAGCACCUCCCCGUGUUUUAUAUGGCAUGAUGAACUACACGGUAGAGUUCAGCCGAAGAAGAAUCAGGUGAUUCUAGAUUGUUGUGUAAUUGUUUAUAUUCCUAACUGAGAUGGGAUUAUAGUUUAUUUGCUUGAUUAUUGGUCAUGUUUUACUUAGAUAAUCCAUUGAUGGUUGAUCUGGUUAAGUACAUAUGCUAUCCCUUGUUUGUUUAUAUUGCUAGCUGGGAUGGGAUUACAGUUUAUUUGCUUGAUUAUUGGCCGCGUUUACUUAGAUAAUUCAUUGAUGGUUGAUCUUGUUAGCUACAGAUGCUACCCCCUGUUCUGAACAAGCUUUAAUUUUGGUGGACUAAUCCCAGUUUGAUUUUAGGAUGUGCAUGUACCCAGGUGGAUCAAAUACAGAUACCAAUCAUAUAGUAUUGUUUUUACUCGUGUGUUUUUCUUGUGCCUGCCAAACAUUUCAAAAAUUGAUUAUAUCAUUCAGAUGUAUUCAGGCUGGGUUUCUAUGAUCCAAAAAAAACAUCUGCCAUGGCUUUCUUUUUUACAUACAAAACUAAGUGUGGAGUUGUGUAUAUGUUCAUUGCUUUCUUAUCACAUUGCAUUUGUCGGAGGUGCUGUACUGAUCUGAAGGAAAUGCUUUUAUAUUUCCAAGUUGAUCAACUACACAACUUCUGAUCCUAAAGCCUUUCUUUAAAAGGGGCUGGUCAAUGCAGCUCUCCAUGUUGUGCUAUCUUGUUAUUGGGCUCUUUUUCGUUACUUAAAAUGGUCAGAUAUCUCUGAUGUUAAAUUCGUGGUUGAUUGCUUAUAUUCAAAAUAACUAUGUUAGUACACUGAAGCCAAUUUUUACAUUGUUAGUGAAGUUGGCUAAAUAGUUUUUGUGCCACUAAGAUAUAUAUGUGCACUGCAUUCUAACCCUAUAAAUUGUUGUGCUAUUAGUUUAAUCCGGAAUAUAAUUAUCUCAGUACCGGUACACUCUGCAAUAUAAUUAUGUUAUAUUCUGCUUUUGUCAGUUUGCUGGUCCAUAUUAAUUUCCUCGAGCUUAUUUUCACAUCUCGUCAUAUUUACACCUCUCCGCCGACUGCCACCUAUCAUGGAGGGAGAUGGCUUGGCCAGGCCGUCAACACCCAUCGGCAACUUCCGGCAGGCGCCGUCCUGUUCUUCCUCCCCUUACUCUGAUGCUUUCAUGGCCAAAAUCAUUAGCAGGAGCAAGAAGGUUAAGCACCAAUUAUGACUAAAGCUUUGUCUCUUUUGUGUACUAUGCAUGAUUGAUCUGAUUUUGCUGGUCAGCUUAUAAAUUCAAGUAAUAUGACUAUUGCAAUGCAUCUUACUACGUGUGUAUUUAUUUGCAUUGAUAUUUUCUCCUCCUUAGGCUCCAAAUCGUUUGUGGGACAUAAAUUAUUGUGCAUUAUUGAUGAUUAAUUUGCAAUUUAAAUUACAACAACUGGGUUUUAUAAGUGCAAUGGAUUGAAAUGUGACCUUCCAAUCAAGAAAUUUCCUCGGUGAGAAGCUUAUGUGAAGAAUGAUGUAAUUAAGUUAGCAAUUUACAGUUCUCUUCGAUAAUUGUAACUGAAUUGUCAAUGGCCAGUUCUCUUGAAUAAUGAGUCACUUGUGUUUUUGUAAUGUUUGUGGUCUUUUCUUUUCUUUUUCUUGAUUUGUAUUGUAUAUGCUACUCACAUAUUUGAACAUGCAUAGGUUCUCUUAGUCUUUAAUCCUGACUAUAAAAAUCCAUUGAUGGAAGCUGGGGAGGGCCGAGAUGAACAUCCGGCUCCCUGGGUCUAAGCCGUCAAGAUGGUAGAGAUAACGUUUCCAUGUCAUCUACUCCAGCAGCCGGACAAGGCAUAUAAAACCAUAGAUCCUUGCUCCUCAGGCCGCAAAAUGGUCACAGCGAUGUCUACGACCUCCUCCUAGAUGUAUUAAUCUCAAUCUCAUGUUUGAUUUUCUUACCUUUUCUCUUCUAAUGAUGUAAUUUCUUUUACUAAGAUAACACCAUGUUUGUUGUAAUGCCUUAUUUGAUGUAAGAUCCCUUUUCUAUUUUGAAUGAAUUUACUGCA